rnacentral:rRNA from 1 species
AUUGAACGCUGGCGGAAUGCUUUACACAUGCAAGUCGAACGGCAGCACGGACUUCGGUCUGGUGGCGAGUGGCGAACGGGUGAGUAAUAUAUCGGAACGUGCCCAGUCGUGGGGGAUAACGUAGUGAAAAUUACGCUAAUACCGCAUACGAUCUACGGAUGAAAGCGGGGGAUCGCAAGACCUCGCGCGAUUGGAGCGGCCGAUAUCAGAUUAGGUAGUUGGGGGGGUAAAGGCUCACCAAGCCAACGAUCUGUAGCUGGUCUGAGAGGACGACCAGCCACACUGGGACUGAGACACGGCCCAGACUCCUACGGGAGGCAGCAGUGGGGAAUUUUGGACAAUGGACGCAAGUCUGAGCCAGCCAUUCCGCGUGCAGGACGAAGGCCUUCGGGUUGUAAACUGCUUUUGUACAGAACGAAAAGGUUUCUAUUAAUACUAGGAGCUCAUGACGGUACUGUAAGAAUAAGCACCGGCUAACUACGUGCCAGCAGCCGCCGUAA